GAUGAACGCUGGCGGCGUGCCUAAUACAUGCAAGUCGAGCGAACAGAUGAGGAGCUUGCUCCUCUGACGUUAGCGGCGGACGGGUGAGUAACACGUGGAUAACCUACCUAUAAGACUGGGAUAACUUCGGGAAACCGGAGCUAAUACCGGAUAAUAUAUUGAACCGCAUGGUUCAAUAGUGAAAGACGGUUUUGCUGUCACUUAUAGAUGGAUCCGCGCCGCAUUAGCUAGUUGGUAAGGUAACGGCUUACCAAGGCAACGAUGCGUAGCCGACCUGAGAGCGUGAACGGCCACACUGUAACUGAGACACGGCCCAGACUCCUACGGGAGGAAGCAGUAGGGAAUCUUCCGCGAUGGGCGAAAGCCUGACGGAGCAACGCCGCGUGAGUGAUGAAGGUCUUCGGAUCGGAAAACUCUGUUAUUAUGGAAGAAGAAAUGUGUAAGUAACUAUGCUCGUCUUGACGGUACCUAAUCAGAAAGCCACGGCUAACUACGUG
rnacentral:rRNA from 1 species